CCUACGGGUGGCAGCAGUGGGGGAUAUUGCACAAUGGGGGGAACCCUGAUGCAGCGACGCCGCGUGGGUGAAGAAGCGCCUCGGCGCGUAAAGCCCUGUCAGCAGGGAAGAAAAUGACGGUACCUGAAGAAGAAGCCCCGGCUAACUACGUGCCAGCAGCCGCGGUAAUACGUAGGGGGCAAGGGUUAUCCGGAUUUACCGGGUGUAAUGGGGGCGCAGGCGGUGAUGCAAGCCAGGAGUGAAAGCCCGGGGCCCAACCCCGGGACUGCUCGUGGAACUGCGUGGCUGGAGUGCAGGAGGGGCAGGCGGAAGUCGUGGUGUAGCGGUGAAAUGCGUAGAUAUCAGGAGGAACACCGGUGGCGAAGGCGGCCUGCUGGACUGCAACUGACGUUGAGGCCCGAAAGCGUGGGGAGCGAACAGGAUUAGAUACCCGUGUAGUC
rnacentral:rRNA from 1 species